rnacentral:lncRNA from 1 species
CUUGCAUUAGGAAAGUCACAAGGCCUUUGGCCUUCAAGGUGAGAUCUGGGAAGGAAAUGAAGUUGGACCUGUAGGGAGCUAUGGUGAACAGUGACCAUCUAGGCAUGCGAGUGAGGGAGGAGCUCCCUCUGAGCAGAACCUGGAGAAAGGAUCUGGAAGAAGAGAGAGGGAGCCACAGAGGGAGCUACAGAACACAGACACCCAGCAGAGCAACAAUGGGGCAGAGAAGAGGGAGGACUGCUUGGCAGUGA